CCGAGCAGCGUCUUUGUGGACUCCUUCAGCUCCUCAAAGGUGAUCCGUCCAUCACCGUCAGAGUCGAACUACGAUAGCAGAGAGGAAUGCAGAGUUUUAUGAAGAAGUAAUAUUAUUUAUGGGUUGGAACAAGAUGCAAGAUCACUCGACAAGACCAGCAAGAAUCCAUCUAGAGAUCUGCAAAGUUUACCUGUCCAAAGAGAGCAUUGAGAUACUGUGUAUAAGCUGCAGCAAUAGCAGAAUUCUGGCUGAAUGAUCUACUGCCGCUGGGUCCUUGGCUGCCAGAUGAGCCCCUGUGAUUGGAGGUCUUCGAGUCUUUGGAUGAGUUACGCAGAGCAGAGCGUGGAGGAUGAGAGUCUGAUGUGGAUGGAGGAUGAGAGGAGCUGCUAAAGGUAGAGAAGAACUGUAAUGAACACACCGCACAUCACUGCAACCAAUGCAAGUAUUGAUUUAAAGGCACCCCUACCUUUCUUUUGAAGAUGCUUUACUCCUCUGAGACAUGCUAAUAGAUAACGAUAAGAAAAAAAAGGAACAUUUUAGAUGUUACUCAUGUUGUUAUUUCUCAUCUUGAAUGCCUGUUUGUCCACAUUGACAUUGUAGAUGCACAAUUCUUCAUGUAACAUUCAUGCCACCAUGCCCAGUCAAUUGAGGUUGACAUGUAUAAAACAUAAGAGUAGCUUUCCAGCCAAAUAAAUGCAACCUGUUUUA